CUCCUUUCUGUGCGGUGCAAGCCCAACAAUGCCAUCCAUGCCACUGAGGCCCUUCGUCGUGCCAAGUUCAAGUUCCCUGGCCGCCAAAAGAUCAUUGAGAGCAGGAAGUGGUAAGCACUGAAGAUUGUUUAAUGUGCUGAGAUGAUAUGAUAUGCUUGUUUAAAUUUCUGUGCGCCCAUAUCUCUAAUUUGUGCUUCUUCUCUCAGGGGCUUCACCAAGUUCAACCGCAACGACUACCUCAAGUUCAAGAGUGAGGGCAGGAUCUUGCCUGAUGGAGUCAACGCUAAGGUAAAUAUACUUGAUGCUGGGCAAUUGUUUUGUCGAUGUUCUUCUUUAUCCUGCCUUAGUAAACCGUUGUCCCUGCAUCAACUAAUUGUUCAUGUUUCUUGCUUUGCAGCUGCUCGGAUGCCAUGGCCGCCUUGCGAACCGUGCCCCUGGACAAGCUUUCCUGUCUGCCGCAUAAUCUAGCAGAAGAAGUCUAUCCGUUCUAUCAGAACUUAUUUUACUGUGUGGAACUUAGAUUCCAAGUGCCUGUGGUGCUAUGUUAUUUUGUCUGAAUGUUGUGUCGAACCUUGUUAUGGAAGAUAUUAUCUAUUUUGUGAUGAUGGUACUAAUAUGAACCGCCUGUUGAAUCAUU
rnacentral:lncRNA from 1 species